ACGAACGCUGGCGGCGUGCUUAACACAUGCAGGUCGUACGGUAAGGCCCUUUCGGGGGUACACGAGUGGCGAACGGGUGAGUAACACGUGAGUAACCUGCCCACAACUUUGGGAUAACGCUAGGAAACUGGUGCUAAUACUGGAUAUGUGCUCCUGCUGCAUGGUGGGGGUUGGAAAGCUCCGGCGGUUGUGGAUGGACUCGCGGCCUAUCAGCUUGUUGGUGGGGUAGUGGCCUACCAAGGCGGCGACGGGUAGCCGGCCUGAGAGGGUGACCGGCCACAUUGGGACUGAGAUACGGCCCAGACUCCUACGGGAGGCAGCAGUGGGGAAUAUUGCACAAUGGGCGCAAGCCUGAUGCAGCAACGCCGCGUGCGGGAUGACGGCCUUCGGGUUGUAAACCGCUUUCAGCAGGGACGAAGCUUUUUGUGACGGUACCUGCAGAAGAAGCACCGGCUAACUACGUG
rnacentral:rRNA from 1 species